rnacentral:rRNA from 1 species
AAAGGGUGCGUAGGCGGUUUCGCAAGUCUUGUGUGAAAUCUAUGGGCUCAACCCAUAGUCUGCACAGGAAACUGCGAGGCUUGAGGAUGGGAGAGGUGAGUGGAAUUUCCGGUGUAGCGGUGAAAUGCGUAGAUAUCGGAAGGAACACCUGUGGCGAAAGCGGCUCACUGGACCAUUUCUGACGCUGAUGCACGAAAGCUAGGGGAGCAAACAGGAUUAGAUACCCGAGU